CCACCCGAGACUCAGUGAAAUUGAACUCGCUGUGAAGAUGCAGUGUACCCGCGGCAAGACGGAAAGACCCCGUGAACCUUUACUAUAGCUUGACACUGAACAUUGAGCCUUGAUGUGUAGGAUAGGUGGGAGGCUUAGAAGUGUGGACGCCAGUCUGCAUGGAGCCGACCUUGAAAUACCACCCUUUAAUGUUUGAUGUUCUAACGUUGACCCGUAAUCCGGGUUGCGGACAGUGUCUGGUGGGUAGUUUGACUGGGGCGGUCUCCUCCUAAAGAGUAACGGAGGAGCACGAAGGUUGGCUAAUCCUGGUCGGACAUCAGGAGGUUAGUGCAAUGGCAUAAGCCAGCUUGACUGCGAGCGUGACGGCGCGAGCAGGUGCGAAAGCAGGUCAUAGUGAUCCGGUGGUUCUGAAUGGAAGGGCCAUCGCUCAACGGAUAAAAGGUACUCCGGGGAUAACAGGCUGAUACCGCCCAAGAGUUCAUAUCGACGGCGGUGUUUGGCACCUCGAUGUCGGCUCAUCACAUCCUGGGGCUGAAGUAGGUCCCAAGGGUAUGGCUGUUCGCCAUUUAAAGUGGUACGCGAGCUGGGUUUAGAACGUCGUGAGACAGUUCGGUCCCUAUCUGCCGUGGGCGCUGGAGAACUGAGGGGGGCUGCUCCUAGUACGAGAGGACCGGAGUGGACGCAUCACUGGUGUUCGGGUUGUCAUGCCAAUGGCACUGCCCGGUAGCUAAAUGCGGAAGAGAUAAGUGCUGAAAGCAUCUAAGCACGAAACUUGCCCCGAGAUGAGUUCUCCCUGACCCUUUAAGGGUCCUGAAGGAACGUUGAAGACGACGACGUUGAUAGGCCGGGUGUGUAAGCGCAGCGAUGCGUUGAGCUAACCGGUACUAAUGAACCGUGAGGCUUAACCUUACAACGCCGAAGCUGUU
rnacentral:rRNA from 1 species